ACAGAUCUUACAAUCAGAAAAUAUAAGAUAAAAAUAAGAAACUAUAGAGCCGACAAGGCAGAAGUAGAGCUGGAACUCUGUGUGGAAUAUCAGCUCCAGUUCCCGUAUCGACUCGUCUUUAGAACAUGUUCCUCGGGUAUGACAGGGAGAGGGUUCCUCAGGUCUUACAGGGAGAGGGUUCCUCAGGUCUUACAGGGAGAGGGUUCCUCAGGUCUUACAGGGAGAGGGUUCCUCAGGUCUUACAGGGAGAGGGUUCCUCAGGUCUUACAGGGAGAGGGUUCCUCAGGUCUUACAGGGAGAGGGUUCCUCAGGUCUUACAGUAAGAAGGUUC